GCUUAGGCUGUUAGGAGAAUUUGUUAGGCCAUUUAGAAUUUGUUAGGCCAUUAGUUUAUUAUAAAAGAAUAGUUAGCUGUAUGGAGAUUACAGGCUAUUCACCCACGUGGCAAUUAGCUGUAGUAUAGCUGGAAGACAGUUAUUGUGGAGUUAGACAACAGUUGCAAUGGAGUCAUAGAGUGACUGUCGUUCUUCUAGAUUACAUUGGUUAUGGACCGAUGUACCUA
rnacentral:lncRNA from 1 species